rnacentral:lncRNA from 1 species
UGAAGAUAAAAUAAAAUUCUGCAAAGAAUCUGAGAGUUUUUAAUGUCCUCUUGGCUUAAAAUGAGUUGGAAUUGUUUGGUGGUAAUUUUUCUUUCUUUUAUCCUUAAACAUAUUAAAGAGAAAAAUGAAAAUAACUUAUUUUGAAUAUCUAAAUGCUCCUUUUACAAAAGGGGACGCUUUAGAACGCUUGUCUAGAAAAAGAAGUGAGCUGAAACAUUGUGCUAAUGGGAUUUGCAGCAUAAAAUAUGGCUAAUUUCUCUUGUAUGACUACAGGUGGCAGUGUAGAAGCCAAGAACAAAAAUUGGCAGAAAUUGUGUUCUGUGUACGAGAAUAUGAAGAGUGUACUCAUGACUAAGCACAGGAACCUGGAAAACCACAGCACCUUCUGCAUACAGUUCCAACAUCUGUGUAUUCUACUAUUGAUGUCGCCAUGCAGAGAAAGAACAAGAUUG